AGCAGCCGCGGUAAUUCCAGCUCCAAUAGCGUAUAUUAAAGUUGUUGCAGUUAAAAAGCUCGUAGUUGAAUUUCGGGAUUGACACAUCGGUCGUGCCUUAAGGGGUAUGAACUGGUGUAGUCAAUUUCUCACCUUCUGGAGAACCGCGAUGCCCUUAAUUGGGUGUCACGGGGGAACCAGGACCUUUACUUUGAAAAAAAUUUAGAGUGUUUAAAGCAGGCAUUUUGCUUGAAUACAUUAGCAUGGAAUAAUAAAAUAGGACGGCAUGAUUCUAUUUUGUUGGUUUCUAGGAUCACCGUAAUGAUUAAUAGGGAUAGUUGGGGGCAUUAGUAUUCAAUUGUCAGAGGUGAAAUUCUUGGAUUUAUUGAAGACUAACUACUGCGAAAGCAUUUGCCAAGGAUGUUUUCAUUAAUCAAGAACGAAAGUUAGGGAUACGAAGACGAUCAGAUACCGUCGUAGUCUUAACCAUAAACUAUGACCGUACUAGGAAUCAAGACGAUUGUUAAAUUUUUUAUGUACU
rnacentral:rRNA from 1 species